GCAAAGUGUUUACGGCAUCGUGUGAUAAAACUGCCAAAAUGUGGGACCUCAGCAGUAACCAAGCGAUACAGAUCGCACAGCAUGAUGCUCCUGUUAAAACCAUCCAUUGGAUCAAAGCUCCAAACUACAGCUGUGUGAUGACUGGGAGCUGGGAUAAGACUUUAAAGUUUUGGGAUACUCGAUCGUCAAAUCCUAUGAUGGUUUU
rnacentral:misc_RNA from 1 species